CCUGGCCCAGGGCGCCACUCGCUGGCCCCGGGACGGCCGCAGGCCCACUUAUCACGGGGCGUCCGCUGGGUCCUAGAACCCUUCUCCGCGCUUUGUGUGAAAGCCCCAGCGAUCCUCUGGACCGAGGGCCGAGCUCUCCGUAAAAGCCUGGUUUAUCAAUCUGGGACACACGGCUCUGAUGGAAGAGAGAACCAAACUUACAUCAGACACUUGACCCCUUGGCCCGGAGCCAAACCAGAUCAGCCGGGCGAGCCUCCCCCAGGGCAGGCUUGUACAUGACAGAUGACACUUGCCAGAGAAGUCAGGCCAUGCCACCCCCUGGGAGCCUGAAAGACACAAAAUCAAGGCAGUUCCAUCAAGCACUUCGAGAGUGGAGCAGGUGGCAAGCCUUUCAAUCACCUUUACUGAGGUGAGAUGGUUGGAGAACCUAGAAGUCUACAUUGGCUCACAAGGUAGCCACAGAAUGACAAGUCCCAACUGAAUGAUAUCAUUUUAGACGGUACUGAAACCCUGUCACCCAUCCUAAAAUAAAAUGCCUAUAAAAGGAAGACAAGCCAGGCAUGCCUGCAAUCCCAGUGAUCUAGGGGGAACAGAAGCAACUCCCAAACUUGUUAGAUAUCCGAAACUCGAGUUUGUGUUCUCUAAAAUUGAAGAAUGAAUUCUAGGAACAACAGAGGUUAAGAGUAGGAAAAUUUACGGAGAAAGAUAGCUUCAGUCUAAGAGAGACAUAAGGGGGCGCAGAAAGUGGGUUGCCCAGGACCAUAUUUCUCAGGGAGUUUUUAUGGACCAAAGCCAGAAGGUGAG
ensembl:lncRNA